rnacentral:misc_RNA from 1 species
AACGCACAUUGCGCCCUUUGGUAUUCCUUAGGGCAUGCCUGUUCGAGCGUCACUAAAAACCCCCUCACAGAUAAUGUGGUAUUGGUAGAAGUGAACGGUACUUACAUUACCUUGUCUCACUCUGCUGAAAUAAAUAGGCCAGAGAAGUGGAGCCAUGGUAAUUGACUCCAGGAGUGUUUUUCAAUGCUAAACUAGUCUUUACCCAAGUCAAGUUCUGAGUUACCGGACCCCCAUUAAGUCCAAAACAAAGUGGUUGACCUCGGAUCAGGUAGGGAUACCCGCCGAACUUAA